ensembl:lncRNA
GUUUAAGAGUGAGUGCAAUGCCAAAAAAACACUUACUGCUGCUUGGAAAGAAGAAGAGUUAAGAUGCCUUCUAAAGUGUUAGUGAUUUAUAUUGAUUCUAAGUGAAGCUGUCCUGUUUGUGUAGACUGCAAAGUUCAGAAAGAAACGGUGUCUCUCUCUCUUGCAUCGGGGAUGAUGUUUGCAGUGAAAGCUUUGAGUCUAUCAAACCCUGCUUUGUUUGCACUGACAGCUGGUGCAACAGUGACAGGAAUCUUAAUCUACAAUAUCGGGAAAUCAUCCGACAAGAGUACGAAGGAACAACCGCACAUCGACUCCGACGUUGAGCCAGAUCCUGCACCGGAUGAUACAAAUGCAGAGCUUUUAUUGGCCCUAGUCUGUGAAGAGGAAUCUGAAAACUGCUAACAUGAAGGAAUUACGACAACCAGACAAGUUCAGAUCAUGUUAAAGCGUUUUGCUUGAUUUAGCCUCACUAAAAAUCAGACUAGUAUAAUUUCUUAGAUAUACACUGUAUUUACCAUGUACUUGCUUUGGGGAAACAAUUACACAACGCUGUUGUGCAAUUGCUGAGGAUUGGGAAAUUUCCAAAAUAAACAUCAUCUACUAAAAUCAAGACAAACACGAUUGUAUUUCCAUCCAUUCAGAGGACAAAAUAUUGACUUGCAUAAAUUUCCUGAAGACUUAACCUUACUCUAACCGCUACUUGUUUAACUUCUUGUCUUAUUACACCUACACUGGCCUGAAAACUUUAAUCUUCAACCUUAUUGAAAUUGAAUGAUUUACAUAAUGUAGUCAGAUUUAUGUUCCCACAACAUGAGUACCACAAGUUAACAACGCACCCAGCUGAACUUUGACAGACGAUAAAACAACAUUUAUUUUGAUUUAAAAAAAGCAACUUUAAUGAGUCGAGUUCAAUCUUCAGAUUUCUCAACUCUGACGCCAGAGAACAAAUAAUUCACAGACAUAAGACGGACUGAGCUGUUGACCAAAUACACAUCAGCUGCAUGUGCUUGUGAAGCUUUCAGUCUAAAAACCUGGGGCUACCGAAGAGUUACAGACUUCAUUUUUAAGCGGUUGUUCCUGAACAUUUAGUUGUGUUUUUCUGGUCAGUUCAGCUGUGACUGGAUGGUGGAGGACCAGUCUGAGCCGUUGCUAUGCCAUC